rnacentral:tRNA from 1 species
ACCUACUUGACUCAGCGGUUAGAGUAUCGCUUUCAUACGGCGAGAGUCAUUGAUUCAAAUCCAAUAGUAGGUA